CAGUCCAAUGGGGCUUUUAAUUUCCUCAGGAUCUGAGAAAGUGGAAGGAGCACACUGUAUUGCAAGAUGAAUGUUUGUGUGGGAAUGAGCUGCGUGGGAGCAUUUUAUGAAGUACUUUACAGCAGCAGCAAAACACUAUCAAGAAACUGCCUCCUGGCUAACAUUCUCAGCAAACCCUCAUGGCUAUUUACACAGAUGAGCAGCCCAACAAACACUGUGAAUCCAAUCCAUCACCUGAUUUUGGAUUGCCAUUUUGAUAAUUACCAGGAGCUGCAUAAUGGCUUGAAGAGCAUCUCAGUAGGAUUUCUCCUGGCUGGAGAGGAGAGCUGAAGAGGUUAAUCAAAACAGGGCAAUCAGACUACUGAAAAUCAUCUAGACCUUCAUCCACAGAGUUGCAGGGACCCACCAACAGCAAAUAAUGAGAGGAGCUGGGUACGGAACUUCUUGGUCUCAUAAUGACCAUCCAAAAACAUCAAAACCUGAGAAUCAAGAUGGUUGACCCAAAUCUAAAAUUUUGUCCACCAUGAACACUGACCGGUAGGCUGACAAUGGAAAGUAAUAGCAGGAAAAAUGGAUUUUUCCCAACAUGUUGAAGACACUGCCAACAAUCCCUUUGCAAUCCACCUGCAGUCUGCAGUUACAGAGAAGCUGAAGCUAAAUAACCAACGAUGGACUUUAUAUGCUAAAAAUAAAACAGCACAGAAGACAAAAAACCAAUUUUUAAAUAAUAAUCAAAGUUAUUGACAGAAAUGAUGGAUUAUUUUCUGUGAUAAACUUUCUCCAUGAAAUAUUAUUCUUUCUCUGGAAUAACUGCAAUGGAUGGUGACAGAUGCUGGUACUCAAAUUUAGUUUUAUUUUCUGUCAGAAACUUAUCCUUAGGGCCUUCUAGUUAGACACAAUGAUAUAUCUAUAUCUAGUUUAAGGAAAUGUCUUCAAAAUUCAUUUGUAAGAGAGCUGUAUUAAACCAAAUAUUCAGAUUUGUGGUGAUGGGAUCAUUUAAUAUCUAAUAUGUCUAAUAGCAAAGAAGAAAUCUGACUAAGACAGUGGAGUAAGAAAUUUUAGUUUCAUCACUGUUUCUUUGCAAUCACUUCCCCAAAUGUUUACACAUGUAAGCACUGACUAAAAAUCACUUAAAAAGUUUAAACCAAUGCUAUUAGAGCUUUUGCUGAUUGUUUAUUUGACCUGCUUACGUGAGUACUUGAAACUAUGUGUUGUCUGAAACUGACUUGCAACAGGUGAGUUUAAAGACUAGUUUAAAACAUGUGUUGAUUAUGAAAUGAACAGAAUAAGUCUAAAUUAUUUCAAAAUUUAUAUAAAAAUGAGUGUAUCAAAGUACACUAAAGCAUCUGACUAUUUAUACCUAAAUUUUAAAAUAAUAAAUAUAUAAUAAUUAACCAGUAAUUUUGAAAUAGAUAAUUUCCCGCUAUGUUUUAAUACAUUUAAUAAUGAAAAUCUUCAGGCUAGCAUGUUUUACAGAAGACAUACAAGCUUUUAGUGAAAAAAAAAAAAAGAGAAAGCAUGCUGGUACUCCUUUGAAAGCAACUUUUAAUGUGAAAACACUAUUAACAUGUUUGAUCUGUCAUGAUGGGUAGCAGAAUAGGAUUUUAUAAAAAUUAAAAGAAACUUUUAUUGGAAUGGACCAGAAAUUCAACAAAAAAGUAUUUGAUAAGGAUUAUAUUUCUGGACAUCUAGUACAAGCAAUUAUUCGUAAUAAUAAUAUUUCCUUUUAUUAAUGACUAUCAGAGAUAUUGAAAUGGUGUUUGGUAGUCUGUUGGCCAUCUGUCAUUUUCCUGGCAUACCAAAGAAGUUAAAAUAAAAUUAUUUGGGAAGAACACCAUUACUUUUCUGCCCUAUAUUGAUGAUUAUAUUCAUAAUAGGAACUGAUAUCAUGUUGUGCCAUCAAGUGACUUUGUGUAUUACCCAACAGCUUUCUUCCUGACAAUCCAAAGAUGGGCCCAGAAGGAAGAAACUGCUCACUGAACUUCUGUCUUGCUCUCAAAACAUUAUAUUAGAGCAUUUGUUGUAGGACACCACAACCAGACAUGGAGAACUUUUUGCAGCAGAACAAGAUGCUAAGGAAUGAUCUUCAGAUUUCCAUGGGGUUGUCUCCUGUUCAUGGUGCUGCAAUUUGCUGUCUGCAGAUGAAAGUUAUUUCCCAUUAAUUAUUGAUGCUGCAAUACAUCCUAGUCUGUUUUAGUAACAGAUAGCUUUGCUUAGUUUAAAGAGCCACUGCCAGGAGCUUAAUAGCCAUUGGUUUUGAUGAGCAGAAAACAGGCUGGCCUUUAUUUUUUUCAGAAACAUUUGAAAAACGACUACUGCCAUGACCACAAAGUAUUAGCAAUCCCUUUUCACAAAUUCAGUUUGUUCAUAACCUUGUGACAUAGACCAUAAAUAGCCUUCUUGUAUUUCACGCAUAUGAACAAUUAACAUGAACAGUAUAUACAAUAUUUACUUUACAAAAAACAAACUAAAGUGCUAUAUGAACAACCCAUCUAUUGGCAAAGGAUUAAUUUCCUAUUCCACAUUAAAUCCAGAUUGUAUGCCUAGCUAACUUGCUUGCUAUGACACUGUACUGGUUGCAGGUGGUAGCAAGGAAAAUAUUAAUCAUUUGGCACUGGGGCUGCUACUGGAAAAGUUAUACUAGAGAAAAAAAAACUAAGAGAAAGCUGAGAUUUGGAUCAUAGAAAAGCUCAUAUGAUUUUCUGCACCAGACUAUGAAGUUUAGAAAUGAAAAAAUAUUUAAAAGGAAGCUAUUUUUAUUUUUGAAAAUGAUUCUUGGUGAGUUUAUUUAAUAUAUUUUAUUUGCACAGAUGAUUAGUAUGAUAAUAAUAGCAAAAUGCUAAAAGAAUAUGUGAGAAUUCAAAAGAAUAAAUCAGAAAAUAUUUACUGGAGUGAGUAAUUUUUUGUCUGCUUUAUACCUAAAACCCAGGUACCCAAUAGGAAUAUAAGACAGAAUAACAGUUAGGCUACUAUUUUUUUUAACAAAUUUAUCUUUGUGCUUUGAAAACUGGAAAAGAUAUCUUGUCUGAUGAAUUGGAUGUUUUAGUUUUUAAGUAAUAUAAUUAAAAGUGUUGAUUACAGUUAGGGUAGAAAAGCAACUGAUAAUGGUGUAUGUAAGAACAUACCAGAAUUUUUUACAUGCUUUAAUCUUAUCACAAUUUCUUGCUAAAGAUUUACAUAAAGAAAAAAAGAUUAAAUUCACAGAGUAUUUAAUUCUGUCUUUUGUUCAACAUAAUGAGAAAAUAUUUUUGUCUUCCAAAUGCAAAGAAUAGGCAAACCCUUUCACUACUGGAAAUGUCCAUUUUACUGUUUUAAUCUUGAUUCAGCACGUAACUUCUUCUAGGAAAAACUGAUGAUUUGCUCUAUUAUCAGAGAUAACACAGGGCCAAACAAUGGGCAGAUUGAACAGGCAAGAAAAAGAUGAGAAUUUCCACAGAAAUUCUGUUACUUGUAUAUCUUUAAGUGAUCAGGAAAGUGACCCUAGCAAGAUUAAAAUGUUCAGGGUGCCUUCUCCUUCCCAGACAAGAGGUAAGAAAACCUGAUGGAUUAAAGGAUAAUGCUAUCUCAAACACAUCUAUCUGAAGGAAUGACCAAGCCCAUUUACCCAUUUUCAUUAAAAGAGACCAGACUUCCUGGCAACAUAUGUAGCACCAGUGUACACGCUGAUGCAGGUUUGGAAGGACCUGCAGCAAACCAACUGCCGCCACUGGGGUAGUGGAAACCUAAGGAUGGAUCUGAUUGGCAAGUUAUGUAGUGAGUUGCAGCAAAGUUGAGAAUGAAAACUCUUUUGGAUAGGAAAUUAUAAUAGCACAAGAUAUUCCCUAAAAAAAUAAUAAUAUAGAAUCAUAGGUGGGUCUGGGUAGGAAGGGACCCUUAAAAUUCAUCUAGUCUAAUCCCUCUGCCACAGGCGGGGACGUCUUCAGCUAGAUCAUGCUGCUCAGAGCCUCAUCCAACCUGACUUUGUAUGUUUCUAGAAAUGGGGUGGGCAUCUACCACUUCUGCGGGCAACCUCAUCCACUGUCUCACCAUCCUAAUCUUAAAAUAUUUCUUCCUCAUAUCUAGUCUGAAUUUACCUGUUUUCAGUUUGAUAUAAUUACUCCUUGUCCUUUUGUUCUAUAUCCUUUUCAAAAGUCCCUCACCAGCUCUCUUUUAGCCCCUGUAAGUGCCAUAAGGAUUUUCUGGAGCCUUCUCUUAUCCAGGUUGAACAAACCCAAUUCUUUCAUCCUGUCUUUACAGAAGAGGUGUUUCAGGCCUUGUGGACUUCCUUAUAUUUGCAUUUGUAGGUCCAAAAUCUUACACUGGUGUCCCCCAGAGCCCAGUGCAGCACUCCAAGUGGGGGUUCACCAGAGCAGAGUAGAGGAGCAGAAUCACCUCCCUUGCCUUGCUGGCCACAGGGCUCUUGAUGCAGCCUAGGACACAUGCUGGGGCAUGUCCAACCUUCCUUCCAUCAGUAGGCACAAAUCCUUCUUGUAAGGCCCGCUCUCAGUUCUCAACCCCCUGACUGUAUUGAUUCUGGGGUUGCCCCAACCCAUGGGCAAGACCUUGCACUUGGUCGUGUUUAACCAGAUACAUUUUCCAGAAUUCCACUUCUUGACCUCAUCCAAGUCUCUCUGUAUAGCAUUUUGUCCUUCAGACACAUUGGGUCUAUGCUAUCAAAAUAUGAGUGCAGACAAUGAAAUAGGAAAUAAAUACACAGUCAAUAGACUUUAAGGUGUUAUGUGGAUCUCCACAGAUCUAAUUCGGAUUACUUAAGCUCAUUUGGCUCUACCUUUCAAAGAAGUUUGAGUCUAGCCAAAUGAAGACUCAAACUUCUAGCCAAAUGAAGGCCAUUCAUGUGGGCUAAGAUACCCAUAACUCCUUUGCCUUCAUGUUUCCCCUAAAGCAAUUGUAAAAAAAUACUAAUUUUUUUGUUUUCAUAGGAAUUUAGAAAAGCAUAAAACUAAAGUGGGCCUCAAAACCACAAAGACGCUUUGGAGUUUAUACUCUGCCAGGUAACAGAAAUAGAGGAGAGCAUACAUUGACAAACCAGGAACAGUUAGGAGUGAAAGAUCAAAUAAGGUGUGAGAAAUCAAAAUACUCAGAGAUCUUUGACAACAGAUAUAAUAUUUUUAAUUUAGUUACCAGUGCAAAUGGUACAUGUGUAGACAAUAUCAUGCUAAAGAGAGGGGACAGAGAGGUUGAAUGUUGAAUUUCUCUUCCUUUAUUUCUUCCUUUCUCUACUUCACUAAUCCUGAUGUCAAAGAAGUGCAGUUUCUGUCCAUACAUUUCACUGGAGUUUUAUCAAGCUAAUAUAUGGAUUCUACAAAUUAAUCUGUGAUAUUGUACUGUAAUUCAAUAGACAAUGCUUAAAAAAAAACCCCAGACCUAUCCCUGUAUUUUAUUUUCCAUGUUUUCUGGUGGUUGUUAUUAAAGGUUUUAAAUCAACACUAGUUGCCACACCACAAUGUCUGAAAUACUAUUGUCAUUUUCUCCUAUAAGAUAGAUACAUCAGCAUAAAUAUUUCAAUGUCAAAGGAGGUAUUUCUUUUUCCUCCAUGACUACUGUUAAAAGACUUCAAAUAUUUAUAGAUUUUUUCUUAAAUCUCAUUGUCAACACUUGCCAAUACUCAGAACUUAAAUUUCUCCCAGCAGAUAAGUUCCCCCAGUAUUUUAAUGUAUUUUUUGUUUCUAAAUGCUAUUCUAUUCAAUGGAAAUAAAAAUGUGGACUUAACAGACUGAUGCAUGUAAUGAAAACGAUGAAGCAAUUUGAGAGAUACAGCAAUAGCAAGUUACCAGGACUGAAUUAUCUCUCUCCAAAAUUCUGAAGAAAGAAAUUUAUUGAUUAUAGUAUGUAUAGAUGGGAAUAUACGUUACCUCUUUGUGAUAGUAAUAAUAAUAUAUAACCACCCCCAUCACAGUCUGAAAGGCACUAAUACUGCUAAUUUCAGGGUUUUGAGUUUAAGAAAUGGUGUGAAAAUUCAGACACUUUCUGGUGCUGGGAAAGUUGUUGAAUUGUCCUAAAGGUAAUAAAAAUGCAGGACUUGAAGGAGGAUAACCUGAAAGGACUGAAACUAUGCCUCUUCUGUAAAGAGGAGCUGAAUUACAGCAAAACAGGUAAAAGUAAGAAAGGAAUAAAAAACCCUAGACUUCCCAAAAUCUUAUGGUAAAGGUAAUUUAAAUAAACUGUUCAAAGAAAUACAUUUCUUUGUAGGAAUGAAUGAACUCCUACUUUGGAUUAAACCAGAUAUUUAUUAUUUUUAAUGCAUCAGUUCUCCCUCCCCACCCCCCACCCAGCAGGAAGGUAAAUUAUAAUUGUACUGACACGUAGUUAGGAUGGAUGAUAGCUCCUGCUGUGUUUCUCUGGUCAUGUCGAGACAUGUUAACUGGGAUGGAGAAAGUAAGAACUAGCUAAUAUCAGUAAGGUGAUUUGAGUGGCUUGAAAACGGAUAUGGUCAGUGGUAGGAUGCUGGGAUAACUGAGGUGUCUGCUGAAUUCUAGCUCUUCCUGCCAGCUCUUGCAGGGUCUCACACUACACAGCAACCUGUCUGUCCGUCCAUGCCCAGGCUGUGGCUGUGUUUACUCCUGAAACAAAUCUUGAUUCUCCAGAUUUGUUCUCUAGGAGCAUACUGCAAAGACUGCAAGGAUGUUGUAGUGCCAGUGGAGACUCAUGCAAGGUCUGCUUGUGAGGAGCAAUGAGGCAGCUUGUGUUCCCAUAUUUAAAAGAACAGCAAUAACACAGCCAGCCAAUGAAUUAGGCUUUUUUUUCUGCUUGAAACCUGUAAAUUAUACAGAAAUCAAUGUCAUAUUGUCACCCUAACCACAAAUUUGUUGCUUGCUGUACAUCCAGGUUUGUUCAUCUGACUUUGGGAAGGACACUUGGUAUCACUUGGGUAACACACUUUCAACACAGGUUUUAUUUAGCGUGUCAGAUUGCAAAGCAAGUAGUUAGACCUCAGCCUGAGAAUGACUCGCCUUGGAUUCACCCAAAGUCUGUAGAAAAGAAUAUCAGUUGGGUGGAUGUAGGCGUACAACAAAUGGAAUAACUUCUGCCCUAUGCAGACCCACAGAUCAAAAAUAGGACACAUUGAUAAACAGAAAUAAGAUUAAUUCCUCUGUCUGGCUUGAAAUCAAAAAGGAAUCCAGUUCUAUUCCAUCAAAUAUUUUGGCUGUUUUUUAAAAAAUAGUUGGAUCAGUGCAUUGCUGUUAUUCACUGUAACAACUCAUAUAAACAGAUAAAUAUAUGACUUUUUAAGCCAAAUGCUCUUCUCAAGCUUUGAAAUGAUACUACUGUGAAAAGUUUAGCUAUCUAAAAAUAAUCAAAUAUAAUGCUUCAUAUUGUAUAAUAACUUUUCUAUCUGAACAGGUUAGGAAGGAUAUUUUCCCAUGUUAAUGGGUAACCUCACUUUUAUUUUUUCAUGAGCUGAUAUGUUUUUGAGAUACUUAUUCAUUAAUGCUGGAGACACAAUGUGCCUGGCCUAAUUCUUUUUGACAGUGGUGUUACUACUCCAGUUGGGAGAAAACAUUUAACAUCCCAGAAAAAAUGGAACUGUUGUUCCCUUUGCUUCUCAUGGAUUGAGCUAAAUCAUUCCUUUAGGGUCAUCCAAAUUUUGGUCUACUUUCUUUCUCUCUCAGUCAAUCAAAUGUAAUUUUUAAUGUGUCCAAUAAUCACUAUGCCCAGACUUUACCUAUUAAAGCACAAGUAAGCACAAAAGUGAUGCAGGGGCACUGGCUAAUGGUGACUUUCCCUCAUACAUACAUAUGUAAAAAGCUUGUCAAAUACACCUCUGCCUAAUAAGAAAGCACAAGUGUUCUGACAAACAACAGCAACAAAUUAAAAAAAUAGUCACUAUCCUGUCAAAUAAUGUUUUUAUAUCAAGGAUCUGGAAUACAAAACAUGUUUAUCAACAAUCACAUUAUGAGUAGAAUUCACCUGAAUGUAACACCUUCUCCCUCUAAGGUUUUGAGUGAGGCACAUUAAAGAAGAUCAUACAACUUACUUAUCCCAGGAACAAAGGUUCUUUUUUGAAAGCUGUCAGCUUGCUGACAGAUAUUAUGAACAUUUACUUCAGUCUUGUAAAACAUUUAAUCAAAUUUGUUCCUAUAGCUUCAGUCCAAGAGGGUUACUGUUUUGUUUAGAAAAAUGUACAUAAUUGAGGAAUAAUGAAUACAUAUAUAACUUGAAUGCAAGCCAUUAUCUAUGAUAUUCAUUUAUUUGUAAUGAAUACAUACUGGUCUAUAACAGACUUAAGGGCAAUGUAAGCAGUGUAUGAAAAUCUGUUUAAUAUAAGGCUAUUUGCCAAAUUUGCUAUUAUGCACCAUUCAUUGAACUUUAAGAACCUUUUGAAAAUAUAGAUUGCAUUUGCAAACUUCCAUGUAUGGAGAGCUGGCAAGCUGCCUGGUUUCUACUUAAAGGAUCGUCAUCCUUGGAAAAACAAAUUUCUCCAAAUAGAAAAAAGUCAGUGUUUUCAUGUUUUACUGCUAUCAAACUGAUAAGGCUGACAAUUUAAUGUCUCAACACCUGAAAUACCUGUGGAUAAUUAGUUACUUCAAUCAUCAGAACUAUAAAUUCCUCUGUUUUCAAAGGUUGUAUACAUAUGACAGAGCUAUUUAAAAGUUUUACCAGAAGCCUCCCCAUCCUCAAUCUUUGAUUUCUCUUAAGCUAUGAAAUUACUUUUUCACCAAAUGCAUAAUUUUAUAAUUAAUGGGAAAAAAAAUCAAAUCCUGCACUGUAAUCAGAUGUUUAAACCUUUUUAUUGAUGUCCUGUUUCAUUUAAUUUGAUGUGUAUUUCAUAGCCUGCUUGCCUGUUAAAUGUAUGUGGAAAGGUGCUGGCAUUCCAGCUGAAGAGAUCUUCCUGAGUGAGAAAAUGCUCAAGGCUUUUUUAAAGUAGGCACCAAACAUAUAUUUCCCUUCUUUGACUCCAGAAGAUGCUAAUAGCUGUCCCAGAAGACAGGUAUCACAAUGUAAAAGGCUAGCAGAGCUGUGAACCUUCAGGAUCUGACUGUUAGCAAAUGAGGUGGGUAGUUUCUCAAAACUAAUAAAGAAAAUGGCAGCAAUGAUGAGAUGCAGAAGGACCUGACAACAACAACAACAACAACAAUGAAAAAGAAAAUAAAAAGAAAAGAAAAAGAAAAGAAAAGGAAAAGAAAAAGAAAGGACAGAAAAGAAAAGAAAAGAAAAGAAAAGAAAAGAAAAGAAAAGAAAAGAAAAAAGAAAAGAAAAGAAAAGAAAAGAAAAGAAAAGAAACCAGCAAAACGAGAAUUCUGGGUAGUACAACAUCUGGCAGAGCUGAUUUUAAUAUUUGGCAGGUUGAGUUCAGUAAUCUUUGCUAUUCAUAUUGAUGUGAAACUUCAUAAAAUUUUAGAGAUUUGUAUGUAUUAAUAUAUGCAGGAAUGAUGCUACAACAUGGAAACAAGUUUGCUAGCACCUGCCAUUCAUUUUCAUGAUAAAAAUUGAUAUGAACUUUUUAAAAUGCCUAACAGAUAACUAAUUUCAACACUCAAUAAGAAAAACUACAUCUUUAGAGUGUCCUUUAUCUUUAAAAAGUAAUUAAAAAAAUAGACUAAAACUCACCAGCCAUGAAAACCAACAUUCUUCCCUCCUCUCUUUUGGUUCUUUGAUUACUUGGAGCCUUGUAAUCAAACUAAGCUUAGUUUCAGGACCCUUGAGGCAGUAUCUCUUAGUUCUCUGUCAGGCUCUGCUGGAAAACAAUCAAUCUUGUUCUUGUGCUGGUUUUGUAGAAGUGCCACAACACAAGGAGUGCACUGCUUUGCUCUUUCUGUGAAGCUUCGAUGACAAAAGUUUAUCAGAAGCUGACUGUAUUUAGGAUUAUGAAUAUGCAAUGACUCUCAUUCGUAUUGAAGCACAGGAACAUGGUCUGACAUCCCUUGCCACUUUUAGCUCUUGCAGAGUUGUCUAAUGAAUUGUCUUGCUCUUUCACUCUCACAAUCUUUGCUGUUAUGGCCCAGUUUGAGAACACUAUUGAUGGCAAAAUAUUAAUUGCCAAAACCCACUCUUGAUUUUGUUAAACAGUGUUGAGUCAGUGUUUAAAUUGUCGAAACAGAAAACCAUUAAACUCUACAGGAGAUAAAUCCAUGGCAAAUGGAGGAUAUCAUGUCUGCAUGCAUAGCCAUGCACAAACAUAAAGGUGUAUGGCACAGGUAUGCAUACAGUCUUGUAACUGCACUUAUACUUAAAGACAGAUGUGUGUGUAUCAGUGAAGGGUCUCAGAAACCUAAUGUCCUGAUUAAUUUUUUCUUUUACUUUUCCAAUAAGAACAAAUGGAGACAAUGGAAAGUUUUUCAAAUGAGCUUGACUCUGAUACACUGGUAUUUGAUCAACUGUUUUAUAUUCUUCCUUAUCCCAUUGGAAAUACGCCAAGCACUUUUCAGCUCAUCUGCAAUCUGUUUGAAUAAGUUACUGAUAAAGAGAGUUCAACAUGUGAUUAAGACAUAUGGCUUGAUUUAUUGUAUUUGAGGAGGUGUGUAGGCUUUCAGAAAGAAGUGAAAAUGACCCUUCCCCCCAACUGGCUAAAUUCAGUAUUUUUCUCCUAUUCAUCUGAAAAGUCUUCUGACAUAAAAGAAGUUUUAAUGGCUCUCUGCAGAUUGUGAAGGGUAAAGUGACUUGAAACAGCUAAUGUAUUUAAAGAAGCUUAAGCAGCAUUCUGAAAGGUGUGUGUGUACUGCAAAUAAUAAAUGUUAUGAAGUACUCCCAGUAGGAUGUCAGUCCUCUGGAGCUCUAUAUAUAUUAAUCAGUAAUGGAAAUCUUCCCAGUUCAAGGAAAGAGGAUCUCUUUAAUUUUUACUGUGAUUUUUUGGCACUGUUGCUCUAACACAAGCUUAUCUUACCUCUUAAUCCAAAUUUAGGACUGUCUGUUCUUAUCAGCUGGAUUAGAAAAUAACGAACAUCUAAUGAACAUCUACAUGAAAUACAAGAGCGGUUUAAAAUAAAUGUGAUUCUGACAAAAUUGGCUCAACUACCAUACAUCAAACACUUGUUACCUCUCUUUGCUUUAGUGACUCACAUGACUAAGAAAGAGUGAGUGAUAAAAUCUGAAGAAAGAUUAAACCAAUCUGGACCUUUUUAAAGAUCAUCAAUCAUUCUGCACAGCCAUGAUAUUAUUCGUUCCAGUAAGCCUUGUUCUCCUAUUUUAUGGACAUCUCAAGCCCCCCACCCCAGGACAAGUGCUACCAUGGGAAAUAAUUUUUAUAGGCAGCAUCUCAGUGUGGGCCAAUCAGAUCUAAUCACAUAACAAGCUACUGAAUUAUUCAAUGUUCUCCCUAAUUUUGCAUUCUUCCUGCACUUUGCUGUCACUACAGGAUUUUAAAAGUAUGGAUUUUUACAAUAUUAAGAAGAUAAUAAUUUGCAGAAUUUUUUCUUUCUCUAUGUCUUUCAAUAAUCAUCUUUCCAUUAGAUAAUUGCAGUGUACACACUACUAUACACAGAAUAUUUUUUCUAAAAUAAUAACAAUCCACAAUGUGGCACUCACAGUGUUUAAUAUACAAAUAUAAGGGCAACAAUAGCAAAACAAUAGUGUUCAAACAUAAAAUAUUCAUAUUUACAGAGCAAACUAUAACCAGCAUGUCUUUUAGCUGUUGCUGUGAAUACAGGGCUUACAUUGUAUGUGAAAAUAUUUCAGUUUUAAUUGCAAAUCUAUGCAGAGAUGAUUUGGGGUCUGUAAUUAGCACAUAAAUUUCAAACUUUGCAACUGCUGUGGAAACACACAUUAUUUAUGGAACUAUUAUCUAAAUAUAAUUCAGUGUUCUUUGCUUUCAAUAACUAC